UACGUAGGGGGCUAGCGUUGUCCGGAAUCAUUGGGCGUAAAGAGCGUGUAGGCGGCCUUUUAAGUCCUGCGUGAAAUCCUGCGGCUCAACCGCAGACGGUCGUGGGAAACUGGAAGGCUAGAGUGCGGGAGAGGAGAGUGGAAUUCCCGGUGUAGCGGUGAAAUGCGCAGAUAUCGGGAAGAACACCCGUGGCGAAGGCGGCUCUCUGGGCCUUACCUGACGCUCAGGUGCGAAAGCUAGGGGAGCGAACAGG
rnacentral:rRNA from 1 species